GGCCGGUACAACGGGGUGCGACACGGUGACGUGGGGCGGAUCCCUGAAAACCGGUCUCAGUUCGGAUCGCAGUCUGCAACUCGACUGCGUGAAGGUGGAGUCGCUAGUAAUCGCGGAUCAGCAACGCCGCGGUGAAUGCGUUCCCGGGCCUUGUACACACCGCCCGUCAAGUCAUGAAAGUGGGCAGCACCCGAAGACGGUGGCCUAACCCUUGUGGGGGGAGCCGUCUAAGGUGAGGCUCGUGAUUGGGACUAAGUCGUAACAAGGUAUC
rnacentral:rRNA from 1 species